rnacentral:rRNA from 1 species
GGAAUUUUGCGCAAUGGGCUAACGCCUGACGCAGCAACGCCGCGUGGAGGAUGAAGGUCUUUGGAUUGUAAACUCCUGUCAGCAGGGAAAAAGCGAGUCGACCUAAUACGUCGGUGAGUUGAUUGUACCUGCAGAAGAAGCCCCGGCCAACUACGUGCCAGCAGCCGCGGUAAGACGUAGGGGGCAAGCGUUGUCCGGAUUUAUUGGGCGUAAAGAGCUCGUAGGCGGCUUGGCAAGUCGGAUGUGAAACCUCCAGGCUUAACCUGGAGACGCCAUUCGAUACUGCUAUGGCUUGAGUUCGGUAGGGGCGCAUGGAAUACCCGGUGUAGCGGUGAAAUGCUUAGAUAUCGGGUGGAACACCAGUGGCGAAGGCGGUGCGCUGGGCCGAAACUGACGCUGAGGAGCGAAAGCGUGGGUAGCAAAC